rnacentral:rRNA from 1 species
GAUGAACGCUAGCGGCAGGCUUAACACAUGCAAGUCGAGGGGUAGAGGCUUUCGGGCCUUGAGACCGGCGCACGGGUGCGUAACGCGUAUGCAAUCUGCCUUCCACAGAGGGAUAGCCCAGAGAAAUUUGGAUUAAUACCUCAUAGUAUUACAGGAUGGCAUCAUCCGGUAAUUAAAGUCACAACGGUGGAAGAUGAGCAUGCGUCCCAUUAGCUAGUUGGUAAGGUAACGGCUUACCAAGGCGACGAUGGGUAGGGGUCCUGAGAGGGAGAUCCCCCACACUGGUACUAAGACACGGACCAGACACCUACGGGAGGCAGCAGUGAGGAAUAUUGGUCAAUGGGCGCAAGCCUGAACCAGCCAUGCCGCGUGCAGGAUGACGGUCCUAUGGAUUGUAAACUGCUUUUGUACGGGAAGAAACACUGAUUCGUGAAUCAGCCUGACGGUACCGUAAGAAUAAGGAUCGGCUAACUCCGUGCCAGCCGCCGCGGUAACAC